GGGUUGUGAGGUUAAGCGACUAAGCGUACACGGUGGAUGCCCUGGCAGUCAGAGGCGAUGAAGGACGUGCUAAUCUGCGAUAAGCGCCGGUAAGGUGAUAUGAACCGUUAUAACCGGCGAUUUCCGAAUGGGGAAACCCAGUGUGACUCGUCACACUAUCAUUAACUGAAUCCAUAGGUUAAUGAGGCGAACCGGGGGAACUGAAACAUCUAAGUACCCCGAGGAAAAGAAAUCAACCGAGAUUCCCCCAGUAGCGGCGAGCGAACGGGGAGGAGCCCAGAGCCUGAAUCAGCAUGUGUGUUAGUGGAAGCGUCUGGAAAGGCGCGCGAUACAGGGUGACAGCCCCGUACACAAAAGCGCAUGUGCUGUGAGCUCGAUGAGUAGGGCGGGACACGUGGUAUCCUGUCUGAAUAUGGGGGGACCAUCCUCCAAGGCUAAAUACUCCUGACUGACCGAUAGUGAACCAGUACCGUGAGGGAAAGGCGAAAAGAACCCCGGCGAGGGGAGUGAAAAAGAACCUGAAACCGUGUACGUACAAGCAGUGGGAGCACCCUUUGGGGUGUGACUGCGUACCUUUUGUAUAAUGGGUCAGCGACUUAUAUUCUGUAGCAAGGUUAACCGUAUAGGGGAGCCG
rnacentral:rRNA from 1 species